GGGGAUUUAGCUCAGUGGCAUGAGCGCCUGCCUUGCAAGCAGGCGGUCAUGAGUUUGAUCCCUG
rnacentral:tRNA from 1 species